UGAUCACUUUCACAGGUCCUGCCCCAGGUACUGGGACCCAGAUUUGGUAACUGCUGCUGAGAGAAAACCCUUGAUGUUGUCCUUGCCUGCCCUGGGAUAGUGGUCAUGGCAGCUGGCUCUCACUGCCAUGGAAGGAAACGUGAAUGGGAUUAGG
rnacentral:snoRNA from 1 species